CAAGGUUGAGUUUUUAGAAUAUUACUUUUGGGUUGUAAAGGUUUUUUCCUUGG
rnacentral:tRNA from 1 species